GGGGUUGUGGCUCAGUGGUAGAGUGCUUGCCUAGCAUGUAUGAGGCACUGGGUUCGAUUCUCAACACCA
rnacentral:tRNA from 1 species